CUGGCGGCGUGCUCAACACAUGCAAGUCGAACGAAGGCUUCGGCCUUAGUGGCGGACGGGUGAGUAACGCGUGGGAAUCUACCUUACGGCGGGGAAUAACAGUUGGAAACGACUGCUAAUACCGCAUACGCUCUACGGAGGAAAGGCUUCGGCCACCGUUUGAGGAUCCCGCGUCCGAUUAGCUAGUUGGUAGGGUAACGGCCUACCAAGGCGACGAUCGGUAGCUGGUCUGAGAGGAUGAUCAGCCACACUGGGACUGAGACACGGCCCAGACUCC
rnacentral:rRNA from 1 species